UGUUCUGUGGCUUAGUUGGUUAAAGCAUCAGUCUAAAGAAUACAGAGUCGUGGGUUCAAAUCCCACCAGAACGC
rfam:Aedes albopictus isolate Foshan contig57200, whole genome shotgun sequence.